UACAUUCACUACUGUAAGUCGCUCUGGACAAGAGCGUCUGCUGAAAUUACUAAAA
rfam:Salmo salar isolate Sally breed double haploid chromosome ssa13, whole genome shotgun sequence.